rnacentral:tRNA from 1 species
GGGCAUGUGGCUUGGUAGAGCACUUGCCUGGCAUGCAUGUGGCCCUGGGUUCAAACCACAGCAGCACCA